rnacentral:rRNA from 1 species
AUAUGGUCAAGUGAAGAAGCGCAUACGGUGGAUGCCUUGGCAGUCAGAGGCGAUGAAAGACGUGGUAGCCUGCGAAAAGCUUCGGGGAGUCGGCAAACAGACUUUGAUCCGGAGAUGUCUGAAUGGGGGAACCCAGCCAUCAUAAGAUGGUUAUCUUGUACUGAAUACAUAGGUGCAAGAGGCGAACCAGGGGAACUGAAACAUCUAAGUACCCUGAGGAAAAGAAAUCAACCGAGAUUCCCUUAGUAGUGGCGAGCGAACGGGGACUAGCCCUUAAGUGGCUUUGAGAUUAGCGGAACGCUCUGGAAAGUGCGGCCAUAGUGGGUGAUAGCCCUGUACGCGAAAAUCUCUUAGUCAUGAAAUCGAGUAGGACGGAGCACGAGAAACUUUGUCUGAAUAUGGGGGGACCAUCCUCCAAGGCUAAAUACUACUGACUGACCGAUAGUGAACUAGUACCGUGAGGGAAAGGCGAAAAGAACCCCGGAGAGGGGAGUGAAAUAGAUCCUGAAACCGUAUGCGUACAAGCAGUGGGAGCCCACUUUGUUGGGUGACUGCGUACCUUUUGUAUAAUGGGUCAGCGACUUAUUUUCAGUGGCGAGCUUAACCGAAUAGGGGAGGCGUAGCGAAAGCGAGUCUUAAUAGGGCGUCUAGUCGCUGGGAAUAGACCCGAAACCGGGCGAUCUAUCCAUGGGCAGGUUGAAGGUUGGGUAACACUAACUGGAGGACCGAACCGACUACCGUUGAAAAGUUAGCGGAUGACCUGUGGAUCGGAGUGAAAGGCUAAUCAAGCUCGGAGAUAGCUGGUUCUCCUCGAAAGCUAUUUAGGUAGCGCCUCAUGUAUCACUGUAGGGGGUAGAGCACUGUUUCGGCUAGGGGGUCAUCCCGACUUACCAAACCGAUGCAAACUCCGAAUACCUACAAGUGCCGAGCAUGGGAGACACACGGCGGGUGCUAACGUCCGUCGUGAAAAGGGAAACAACCCAGACCGUCAGCUAAGGUCCCAAAGUUAUGGUUAAGUGGGAAACGAUGUGGGAAGGCUUAGACAGCUAGGAGGUUGGCUUAGAAGCAGCCACCCUUUAAAGAAAGCGUAAUAGCUCACUAGUCGAGUCGGCCUGCGCGGAAGAUGUAACGGGGCUCAAACCAUACACCGAAGCUACGGGUAUCACUUAGGUGAUGCGGUAGAGGAGCGUUCUGUAAGCCUGUGAAGGUGAGUUGAGAAGCUUGCUGGAGGUAUCAGAAGUGCGAAUGCUGACAUGAGUAACGACAAUGGGUGUGAAAAACACCCACGCCGAAAGACCAAGGUUUCCUGCGCAACGUUAAUCGACGCAGGGUUAGUCGGUCCCUAAGGCGAGGCUGAAAAGCGUAGUCGAUGGAAAACAGGUUAAUAUUCCUGUACUUCUGGUUAUUGCGAUGGAGGGACGGAGAAGGCUAGGCCAGCUUGGCGUUGGUUGUCCAAGUUUAAGGUGGUAGGCUGAGAUCUUAGGUAAAUCCGGGAUCUUAAGGCCGAGAGCUGAUGACGAGUUACCCUUUGGGUGACGAAGUGGUUGAUGCCAUGCUUCCAAGAAAAGCUUCUAAGCUUCAGGUAACCAGGAACCGUACCCCAAACCGACACAGGUGGUUGGGUAGAGAAUACCAAGGCGCUUGAGAGAACUCGGGUGAAGGAACUAGGCAAAAUGGCACCGUAACUUCGGGAGAAGGUGCGCCGGUGAGGGUGAAGCACUUGCUGCGUAAGCCCACGCCGGUCGAAGAUACCAGGCCGCUGCGACUGUUUAUUAAAAACACAGCACUCUGCAAACACGAAAGUGGACGUAUAGGGUGUGACGCCUGCCCGGUGCCGGAAGGUUAAUUGAUGGGGUUAGCUAACGCGAAGCUCUUGAUCGAAGCCCCGGUAAACGGCGGCCGUAACUAUAACGGUCCUAAGGUAGCGAAAUUCCUUGUCGGGUAAGUUCCGACCUGCACGAAUGGCGUAACGAUGGCGGCGCUGUCUCCACCCGAGACUCAGUGAAAUUGAAAUCGCUGUGAAGAUGCAGUGUAUCCGCGGCUAGACGGAAAGACCCCGUGAACCUUUACUAUAGCUUUGCACUGGACUUUGAAUUUGCUUGUGUAGGAUAGGUGGGAGGCUUUGAAGCGUGGACGCCAGUUCGCGUGGAGCCAUCCUUGAAAUACCACCCUGGCAACUUUGAGGUUCUAACUCAGGUCCGUUAUCCGGAUCGAGGACAGUGUAUGGUGGGUAGUUUGACUGGGGCGGUCUCCUCCUAAAGAGUAACGGAGGAGUACGAAGGUGCGCUCAGACCGGUCGGAAAUCGGUCGUAGAGUAUAAAGGCAAAAGCGCGCUUGACUGCGAGACAGACACGUCGAGCAGGUACGAAAGUAGGUCUUAGUGAUCCGGUGGUUCUGUAUGGAAGGGCCAUCGCUCAACGGAUAAAAGGUACUCCGGGGAUAACAGGCUGAUACCGCCCAAGAGUUCAUAUCGACGGCGGUGUUUGGCACCUCGAUGUCGGCUCAUCACAUCCUGGGGCUGAAGCCGGUCCCAAGGGUAUGGCUGUUCGCCAUUUAAAGUGGUACGCGAGCUGGGUUUAGAACGUCGUGAGACAGUUCGGUCCCUAUCUGCCGUGGACGUUUGAGAUUUGAGAGGGGCUGCUCCUAGUACGAGAGGACCGGAGUGGACGAACCUCUGGUGUUCCGGUUGUCACGCCAGUGGCAUUGCCGGGUAGCUAUGUUCGGAAAAGAUAACCGCUGAAAGCAUCUAAGCGGGAAACUUGCCUCAAGAUGAGAUCUCACUGGGACCUUGAGUCCCCUGAAGGGCCGUCGAAGACUACGACGUUGAUAGGUGGGGUGUGUAAGCGCUGUGAGGCGUUGAGCUAACCCAUACUAAUUGCCCGUGAGGCUUGACCA